GUCAGCUUUCCGAUAACGCCAAUGAGCUGUCCAACUCGGUUAUGUCAAUGUGCGGGGGCGGCACUGCAGGCAUGUCUGUCCGGGACUGUUGAAGUCAAUAAAGCAGGUUGUUCAAGCCAUGUCCUUUAUUUGUUGACGGAAACACGAAGAGGUUCCCGAAAAGUUGUUCAAGUUGAAGAAAGGUUGUAUAUGUAUUGUUGAUAAAGUCCCGGACAAACAGCGGGAUGUUCAAGAAAUCACAAUCUCAUCUGCUAUGGUCUCAAACAAUAUGAAUAGAAACAUAUUGAAGAGCUCAUGGGCCCUGAUAAAUCGUGCCACUCCCUUGCGUUCAGUUGAGUCGGUCGGAAUGAAAGUGAAGAACAUCGUCCGUCAUCUGCACUUGGCGACCCUGGAUAGCUUUGCUGUGUUGUUGGAGUCCUUGCGACUACAUUUUUCCUGUUUUUUUUUC
rnacentral:lncRNA from 1 species